rnacentral:rRNA from 1 species
CACGUAGGGCGCAAGCGUUGUCCGGAAUUAUUGGGCGUAAAGAGCUCGUAGGCGGCUCAGUAAGUCGGGUGUGAAAACUCCAGGCUCAACCUGGAGACGCCACCCGAUACUGCUGUGGCUAGAGUCCGGUAGGGGAGCAUGGAAUUCCUGGUGUAGCGGUGAAAUGCGCAGAUAUCAGGAGGAACACCAGUGGCGAAGGCGGUGCUCUGGGCCGGAACUGACGCUGAGGAGCGAAAGCGUGGGGAGCAAACAGG